rnacentral:misc_RNA from 1 species
GGCCAUUCCUCAACGCUGAUAUACCAUUUACUGUUAGGAUUCCGAUGAGGCUGAGCAUUGUAGUUGAUCAGACCAUAUAGAAGCCCAUGCCUGAUAUUUGUUCUGCGCAAAGAAGCUAGCACUUCAUCCACUCGAACAAAUGCAUCAUCAUCUGUUUUCAUGACAUAGUUGGCUGAAAUGACUUCUGCCCCAAAAGUACAGAUUGCUACAGUCUUCCAGGUUAUAAGAUUGUAAUAGUCAACAAAAGGCAC